rnacentral:misc_RNA from 1 species
GAAGAAAAUAAAAUCAAUUACAAUAAACGCAUUCUGGAUUUAAGGAGGUAUAAUGCAAUACCCUUUUCUUUUAGAGAUGGCACUAACCUUUCAGCUUCACCACUAGGCAUUAUAGCUGGACCAGAAGAGAGACCAGUUCCAACAACAAGAACUUGUUCAUUUCCGGCUUUUACCAACUCCAUGCAUUUUCCUAUCUCACCAAGCUCAAACUUAAAGGAUGAC